ensembl:lncRNA
AGCAUAGCUAAUAGAUCUUCAAAUAAGUUUCUGGUUAUAAUGUAAAGCCUGUGUGAUUGCCUUUUUCAGAACAGUCUAUUGUUAGCCAAUUUGACACUUACCUCACUCCCUCAGCUGCCAGCUAUACGGGAAGAGGUAGGAGAUGACAAGACCUCCAUCAAAUGUGAAACCUCGACCCUCGCCUGGCCGCGGUCCCUUCAGCUGGGCCGCCUGCACACGGGGGCGCUGCGCACAGCCACCCAUGAGGACCUCAGGGACGCCCACAACUCCACAGGCUCUCAGGACAGCCCCAGGAAUAACCCCAGCAGCAGCACCAGCAGCCAGGGCUCGCUGCACAAAGCCCCAAAGAAGAAGGGCAUCAAGUCCUCCAUCAGCCGCUUGUUUCGCAAGAAGGAAAAGGGCCGGCCUGAACACCCCAGCAAGGAGGCGUUAGGACCAGGCAGGAUCUUUACCCCUAGUGCCACCUGGAAAGCCCCAGUGAAUGCUGACAACUAGAAAUGCAGAAAAUAAGGGCUGCUCCUAAGUUAAACUGGAAGAGCAGCAAGCACAGGUUGUAAAGAGGAAAACACACGAUGAGCGACAACAGCGCCAACAGAAACAAGGGAUGCGUUCACCCACAGAAAGAAAAUAUCUGUGCCAUUCGGAAGAGGAUCCCGUCAGCCCUUGGAGGGACAGUUGGAACCAGAAUGGAAACUGAGGCCAUGGUCAGCAGUGCCCACCACACGGCCUGGGUGGCGUGGUGUCACUCACCGGGCUUCCUGUAUCCCCAGAGCUGCUGGCAGUAACAUCUCUGAGUGCCAGGCCGGGCAGCGUCCCCGAGUGAGCUAAGGCAUCACUGCUCUCCUUCCAGUGCUGCUCCGGGGCCCUCUGUGGGCGGCCACCCUCAUCCCCUGCCCUGCCACUUGCUGGGGCCCGGCUGUCCCCCUGGAAUCCUUUCAGCCCUUGAGCUUGGGUGUUCCCAGCCCUCUGCCACACUGGACUGGGACGCAACUCAGGACUUGGGCUUGAGAUAUCAAGGAGACCGUGAAUCUGGAAGGACACCACCCUGCGGCCUGUGAGAGAGCAGGAGAGCAAAGCCCCUACGGGGAGGAAGCAGAGCUGGGGGAAUGUGCCCACAGCCUCCACUGCCUCCUGCACAAGUGCUUUUUCUUUGUCUCUCCUUGACCUGAAACAAACCCCAGCUGCUGCUGCUCUGCAGGUGAUUCCUAAAGAUGCACCUUCUGCCAG